AGUUCCUUGGAACAGGAUAUCAAAGAGGGUGACAAUCCCGUACUUGACACGACGACCGGUGCUCUGUGAUACGUCUUCUACGAGUCGAGUUGUUGGGGAAUGCAGCUCAAAAUGGUUGGUGAGUUCCAUCUAAAGCUAAAUAUUGGCGAGAGCCCGAUAGCGAACAAGUACCGUGAGGGAAAGAUGAAAAGCACUUUGGAAAGAGAGUUAAACAGCUCGUGAAAUUGUUGAAAGGGAAACGAUUGAAGUCAGUCGUGGCCGAGAGGCUCAGCCGGUUCUGCCGGUGUAUUCACCUCGGUCGGGUCAACAUCAGUUUUGUCCGGUGGAUAAGGGCGGUAGGAAGGUGGCACCCUCGGGUGUGUUAUACCAGCGUCGCAUACAUCGGGUGAGACUGAGGAACGCAGCUCGCCUUUAUGGCCGGGGUUCGCCC
rnacentral:rRNA from 1 species